UCCUUUGGUUAUCUGGCUGUAUGAGUGUGUUUGACUGUUCAUAAAGCUAGGUUACCAAAGCU
rnacentral:pre_miRNA from 1 species